CAGUAGCCGCGGGAAUACGGAGGGUGCAAGCGUUACUCGGAAUUACUGGGCGUAAAGCGUGCGUAGGUGGUGGUUUAAGUCCGUUGUGAAAGCCCUGGGCUCAACCUGGGAAUUGCAGUGGAUACUGGGUCACUAGAGUGUGGUAGAGGAUAGUGGAAUUUCCGGUGUAGCAGUGAAAUGCGUAGAGAUCGGAAGGAACAUCUGUGGCGAAGGCGACUAUCUGGGCCAACACUGACACUGAGGCACGAAAGCGUGGGGAGCAAACAGGAUUAGAUACCCGGGUAGUCCCUGUCUCUUAUAC
rnacentral:rRNA from 1 species